CAUUUCCUAUGUUUUAAACUAUGCAGCAGUAGAGCCUAGGAUGGGGAAUAUCUAACUCUCAGCUUUCUUCAGCCCAAGGUGGAAAUGUUCUCCCAUUUCCAAGACCAGCAGAGCACCCUGUAUCCUACAUGAGAGCACCCACCUCUUCUUUUCAAGCCAAGCCAUGAAAACAAAGGAGAACCGAGCAGCAGCCAGAAAGCUGAUGAGUUGACUGGCAUCAGAGACUGUCCAAACCAAGGAGUCAGAUGGAAAGGACCACGAGGGAAAUUGGGCUGCAUACCCAAGAGAAGGCUUUGAAACAAUGCAAUCCCAUUUUCACAACGUCCAGCAUGGAGAUGUGAUGUCCAAAUCUCCAGUACCACUGUGCUUGCACAGGCAGAGCCUUGCCAGCUUUUCAGUCAGGCUGAGGCUGAAUUUGCCACAAGAGCAAGUCCUAGGAUGUGCAUUCAAGACGAGGAACAGGACCUUGUCCCACAGAGAACUUUUCCACCAAGCAAGCCCAGGGUGUCAGACUAGGAGCCUGUUUCUGUUUUCUGCAUUACAUUCAGCUCAAUCAAUCAUUCAAUGGCUUCCAUCCUUAUUUUUCCUCUGUCCUUUCCAGUCAGACUUUGUUCUCUUCAGACUGGUGGUGGGUUUGUGCCUGGUACAGAGGGUGCUCACCUGAGCCAGGGACAUGAUGGUUGCUGUCAUGCUAAUCAUAAUUUUCCUCAGAAAGGAAAUAGCAAAUGCCUUUGUGUCUUGUUCUCCUGCCCUUGUGCUCCCAGACCACUGCUCUGAGGACAGGACACUUCCCCUCUGCCUCCUUUUGCUCUGAUUUGCCUUGCCUUCCCCAAGCCCUACUGCUAACUGCACUCUCACUGAUUAUUUUCUUUUCAGAGGCUGUAAACUUCAGUUCCUGCUCAGCUUGCAUUAGUGUCAGAGAAGUAUCUCUUGGCUGUUUACAGAAGAGAAAAUGGAAAGAUGAGCAUUAUUUCAUGUGAAAUAUGGUAGAGAGCCUAUGCUGAGUUUCUCUGUGAGGCCUGAGGCUCCAGCUACCUGAAGAAGCUGGUGAAAGCAUCCGUCAUCUGGUGAUUCAUCUCCCCUUGCCAUGGCUCUGGCCCUGCUCUGCGUGGGUGUCUCACAGCUCUCAUCAACUCUGGUUUUGAUGCAGACCAGGAGCUGCUGGGCUGUUCGCCCAAGUUUAUCUUGUAUGAAAGAGUUUGCUUGCUUUUCAAUUGUCUGGUGUUCUCCUGAAGAUGUAAAUUAAAAAAAAUAAAAAAAAAAAAUAAAAAAAACAGGUUUUCUUGUAGAUUGCUUUUCAGCUGUUUCUACUAGGAGUGAGAAAAUGGGGAUUGGUGCUCAAGGGAUGUCUCUGGUGCGAGGUCAUACCAGUCCAAUCCCUUCUUGGAAAGAG
ensembl:lncRNA